CCUACGGGGGGCUGCAGUGGGGAAUAUUGGGCAAUGGGCGCAAGCCUGACCCAGCAACGCCGCGUGAAGGAAGAAGGCUUUCGGGUUGUAAACUUCUUUUCUCAGGGACGAAGCAAGUGACGGUACCUGCGGAAUAAGCCACGGCUAACUACGGGCCAGCAGCCGCGGUAAUACGUAGGUGGCAAGCGUUAUCCGGAUUUACUGGGUGUAAAGGGCGUGUAGGCGGGAAAGCAAGUCAGAUGUGAAAACCAUGGGCUCAACCUGUGGCCUGCAUUUGAAACUGUUUUUCUUGAGUACUGGAGAGGCAGACGGAAUUCCUAGUGUAGCGGUGAAAUGCGUAGAUAUUAGGAGGAACACCAGUGGCGAAGGCGGUCUGCUGGACAGCAACUGACGCUGAGGCGCGAAAGCGUGGGGAGCAAACAGGAUUAGAUACCCCGGUAGUC
rnacentral:rRNA from 1 species